GCCUGCAUGUUCCCACUCACUCCUCCUAUCCAGUGGCCUGCAUGUUCCCACUCACUCCUCCUAUCCAGUGGCCUGCAUGUUCCCACUCACUCCUCCUAUCAGAUGGCCUGCAUGUUCCCACUCACUCCUCCUAUCCAGUGGCCUGCAUGUUCCCACUCACUCCUCCUAUCCAGUGGCCUGCAUGUUCCCACUCACUCCUCCUAUCCAGUGGCCUGCAUGUUCCCACUCACUCCUGCUAUCCAGUGGCCUGCAUGUUCCCACUCACUCCUCCUAUCCAGUGGCCUGCAUGUUCCCACUCACUCCUCCUAUCCAGUGGCCUGCAUGUUCCCACUCACUCCUCCUAUCCAAUGGCCUGCAUGUUCCCACUCACUCCUCCUAUCCAAUGGCCUGCACGUUCCCACUCACUCCUCCUAUCAGAUGGCCUGCACGUUCCCACUCACUCCUCCUAUCAGGUGGCCUGCACGUUCCCACUCACUCCUCCUAUCCGGGAGCAUGUUCCCACUCACUCCUCCUAUCCAGUGGCCUGCAUGUUCCCACUCACUCCUCCUAUCAGAUGGCCUGCAUGUUCCCACUCACUCCUCCUAUCCAGUGGCCUGAGAGUUCCCACUCACUCCUCCUAUCCAGUGGCCGGCACGUUCCCACUCACUCCCCUAUCCAGUGGCCUGCAUGUCCCCACUCACUCCUCCUAUCCAGUGGCCUGCAUGUUCCCACUCACUCCUCUUAUCCAGUGGCCUGCACGUUCC
ensembl:lncRNA